rfam:Pseudomonas fluorescens F113, complete genome.
CGAUGGCCGAACGCAGGCAUUGCGCAGUGGGCAUCCCGGCAUGGAUGCCGGGAUAGCCGCGCUGGGCCAUGGAUGGCCCUUCGCGGCGGGCCCACGGAGCAAUGCCUUCGUUCGGGCAUUC